rnacentral:rRNA from 1 species
GAUGAACGCUGGCGGCGUGCCUAAUACAUGCAAGUCGAACGCAUAGCGAAAGGUGCUUGCACCUUUCAAGUGAGUGGCGAACGGGUGAGUAACACGUGGACAACCUGCCUCAAGGCUGGGGAUAACAUUUGGAAACAGAUGCUAAUACCGAAUAAAACUUAGUGUCGCAUGACACAAAGUUAAAAGGCGCUUCGGCGUCACCUAGAGAUGGAUCCGCGGUGCAUUAGUUAGUUGGUGGGGUAAAGGCCUACCAAGACAAUGAUGCAUAGCCGAGUUGAGAGACUGAUCGGCCACAUUGGGACUGAGACACGGCCCAAACUCCUACGGGAGGCUGCAGUAGGGAAUCUUCCACAAUGGGCGAAAGCCUGAUGGAGCAACGCCGCGUGUGUGAUGAAGGCUUUCGGGUCGUAAAGCACUGUUGUAUGGGAAGAACAGCUAGAAUAGGAAAUGAUUUUAGUUUGACGGUACCAGACCAGAAAGGGACGGCUAAAUACGUG